CCUACGGGUGGCAGCAGUGAGGAAUAUUGGUCAAUGGGCGUAAGCCUGAACCAGCGAAGUCGCGUGAGGGAUGAAGGAUCUAGGUAUCGUAAACCCCUUUUGUAAGGGAAUAAAGUGUGGGACGUGUCCUAUUUUGUAUGUACCUCAUGAAUAAGGAUCGGCUAACUACGUGCCAGCAGCCGCGGUAAUACGGAGGAGCCGAGCGUUAUCCGGAUUUAGUGGGUUUAAAGGGUGCGUAGGCGGCCUUUUAAGUCUGAGGUGAAAGCCUGUGGCUCAACCAUAGAACUGCCGUUGAAACUGGGGGGCUUGAGUAUGUUUGGGGCAGGCGGAAUGCGUGGUGUAGCGGUGAAAUGCUUAGAUAUCAAGCAGAACCCCGAUUGCGAAGGCAGCCUGCCAAGCCAUGACCGACGCUGAUGCACGAAAGCGUGGGGAUCAAACAGGAUUAGAUACCCGAGUAGUC
rnacentral:rRNA from 1 species